CAGCAGGUUUUAUUAGACAGACUCAGAAGUCUGGUGGGCCUCUCAGGUCCUGGUCUUAAAUGCUUUUACUCCGAUCUCACAGAUCCACAUCAUAAGGUUUGAUCACAGUUCUACUGAUAAUCCAG